CUUCCUUCCAGCCAUCAUACAUCAGUGGAAGGAGUCACCGGAAGGGAGGCAACAUCCUCUGAAGCCUGAGGUUAAGAAGGGAUUAUUGCCUGUAACUGACAACCCAAGAGCUCAAGGUUUACUUCAACUCAGUAAUAGCACAUGCGACAUUCCAAUCUUGUGAAUCCAGAUGACCAAUGGAGAAUGGAGCUUGUCACUGUUUAUUGCAGAUUGGCUUGAACCAUUAUAGUGCAGAGUUGCAUUAAACCCACAGCAAUCCUCCUGCCUCAGCUCCCCCAGGGCUGGCCAC